CAAUAGCGUAUAUUAAAGUUGUUGCAGUUAAAAAGCUCGUAGUUGGAUUUCGGGACGGGCCAGUUGGUCCGCCGCAAGGCGUGUUACUGACUGGUCUGUUCUUCUUCGCAAAGACUGCGUGUGCUCUUCGUUGAGUGUGCGUAGGAUUUACGACGUUUACUUUGAAAAAAUUAGAGUGUUCAAAGCAGGCUAUCGCUUGAAUACAUGAGCAUGGAAUAAUGGAAUAGGACUUUGGUCCUAUUUUGUUGGUUUCUAGGACCGAAGUAAUGAUUAAGAGGGACAAUUGGGGGCAUCCGUAUUUCGUUGUCAGAGGUGAAAUUCUUGGAUUUACGAAAGACGAACAACUGCGAAAGCACUUGCCAAGAGUGUUUUCAUUAA
rnacentral:rRNA from 1 species